rnacentral:lncRNA from 1 species
CGUCAAAAUAAAUAAAAAUUCAAUAUUAAAGGUUCAUAAUAUAAGGUUCAUCGCAAAUCCUAACACAAAAUAAUUUAGUCGAGCAUAAUGUGAAAAAUAAACCAAGAAAAGUGGACAAAUAUCACCAAAAAUCGACCAAACGUGAAUGAUUCCUCAAAGUUGUUUUUCAGCCGCCGACUUUUGUGUUCCAAUUCCACCUCCCAAUAUGUUUUCUGUGUGUGAAAAUAUGAUGCAAUUCAGCCCAGUGUCAGCCCCUUUUCAUGUGCCAUUUUUCUGUUGGUGUAUAUAAAUAUAUGAAUUGCAGCUCCCAAAUUCCUCCCAGCAGCUGGCUAUGUUUGACUACCGAAAAUGGACUCCAAUUCUUGCCCUCCAAGCUGCUACUUUAUGUGGGAAUUGUGUCUAUGAAAAUCAACUCUUGCAGCCACAAUUAAUU